GGGGGGGAUCGUAAUGAGAUGCUGCUCCUACUAUGCUUUCGGCAUACUGUCGCAGGGUGCGUAUCGCGUGGGAGCUGCCCUUGGUGCUGGGAUAACGGUUGGAAACUACCGCCGAUACGGGAUGAUAUCGCGAGAUCAAAGAUUUAUCGCCUGAGCACGAGCCCGCGAAAGAAUACCUAGUUGGUGGGGUAAAGGCCUACCAAGGCGACCAUCCUUAACUGGUCUGAGAGGAUGAUCCCCCACUCUGGGACUGGUACACCGCCCAGACUCCUACAGGAGGAAACGUUGGGGAAUAUUGGACAAUGGGCGAAAUCCUGAUCCAGCACUGCCGCGUGAGUGAUGAAGGCCUUAGGGUUGUAAAGCUCUUUUACCCGGGAUGAUCAUGACAGUACCGGGAGAAUAAACCCCGGCUAACUCCAUGCCAGCAGCCCCGGUGUUACCGACGCCGCUAGCGUUAUUCGGAAUUACUGGGCGUAAAGCGCAAUUUGGCAGCUUUGUAAGUCAGGGGUGAAAGCCUGGAGCUCAACUCCUGAACUGCCUUUGAGACUGCAUCCCCCGAAUCCUGGAGAGGUAAGUGGAAUUCCGAGUGUACAGGUGAAAUUCGUAUAUAUUCGGAAGAACACCCGUGGCGAAAGCGGCUUACUGGACAGGGAUUGAUGCUCACGUGCGAAAGCGUGAAGAGCAGACUCGAUUAGAUACCCUGCUCCUCCACGUCGCACACCAUGAUCACUAUCUGUCCAGGGACUUGCUCUUUCGGCGGCGCAGCUCACGCAUUUAUUUAUCCUUCUGGUCUGUACUCUCGCAUGGUUAAAACUCUCAGGAAUUGACGGGAGCCUGCAUCAGCGGUGGAGCUCGUGAUUUAAUUCGAAGCAUCUCGCAUAACCUUAACAGCGUCUGACAUGUGCUGUACGAUCUCCAGAGAUGGAUCACUUCUCUUCCGCGUACUGAUAACACACGUCCUGCAUGGCUGUCAUCAGCUCGGUGUCAUGAUCUCGUUGGGUGUAGUCCUGCACCGAGCGCAACCAGUCGCCAUUAAGCUACUAUCAUCUACACGGCUACUGCUGAAUGCACGGUCAGUCGAUCAGCCCGAGUACGAUAGUGCAUCGACGUCUAGUCCUCAUGGACGAUUACGGCGCUGGGUCUCACACCUUGCGUAGAUGACUAUCUACUCGUACUGCAAUUCCGACAAGAUCAACGGUAUGUGCCUUAUAGUUCCGCUCCCUCCAAAAC
rnacentral:rRNA from 1 species